GACGAACGCUGGCGGCGUGCUUAACACAUGCAAGUGGAGCGACGAACCGGGGCUUGCCCCGGGGCAGAGCCGCGAACGGGUGAGUAACACGUGGGUAACCCACCCCGAUGACCGGGACAACCCGAGGAAACUCGGGCUAAUACCGGAUGUGCUCCUUGACCUCGAGGUCACGGCGUAAAGAUAGCUUCGGCCUUCGCAUCGGGACGGCCCGCGGCCCAUUAGCUUGUGGUGGGUAACGCCUACCAAGGCGACGANGGGUAGCUGGUCUGAGAGGACGAUCAGCCACACUGGGACUGAGACACGGCCCAGACUCCUACGGGAGGCAGCAGUGGGGAAUCUGCGCAAUGCGCGAAAGCGUGACGCAGCAACGCCGCGU
rnacentral:rRNA from 1 species